rnacentral:rRNA from 1 species
ACCAGCAGCCACAUCACCCUGCAACUCACAACUUACAACCCACUGAAGCUCAGCAGGUGUGAGUCUGGUCAGUACCUGAAUGGGAGUCCUUCUGGGAAAACUGAAGGUGGCUGCUGGAA